GAUGAACGCUAGCGGCAGGCUUAACACAUGCAAGUCGAGGGGCAGCGCGGAUGUUAGCAAUAACAGUUUGGCGGCGACCGGCGCAAGGGUGCGUAACGCGUGAGCAACUUGCCCGUUUCUGGGGAAUAACCGGUGGAAACGCCGACUAAUACCCCAUAGCAUUGGAUUUAGGCAUCUUAAUCCAAUUAAAGAAUUUCGGAAACGGAUAGGCUCGCGUCUGAUUAGCUAGUUGGUGGGGUAACGGCCUACCAAGGCGACAAUCAGUAGCCGAGCUGAGAGGCUCAACGGCCACAUUGGGACUGAGAUACGGCCCAGACUCCUACGGGAGGCAGCAGUGGGGAAUAUUGGGCAAUGGGCGAAAGCCUGACCCAGCAACGCCGCGUGAAGGAAGAAGGCCUUCGGGUUGUAAACUUCUGUCCUUAGUGACGAUAAUGACGGUAGCUAAGGAGGAAGCCACGGCUAACUACGUG
rnacentral:rRNA from 1 species